rnacentral:rRNA from 1 species
UACGGAGGGGGCUAGCGUUGUUCGGAAUUACUGGGCGUAAAGCGCACGUAGGCGGAUCAGCAAGUUAGGGGUGAAAUCCCGGGGCUCAACCCCGGAACUGCCUCUAAAACUGUUGGUCUGGAGGUCGAGAGAGGUGAGUGGAAUUCCGAGUGUAGAGGUGAAAUUCGUAGAUAUCAGGAGGAACAACAGAAGCGAAGGCGGCUCUCUGGACUAUAACUGACACUGAGGUGCGAAAGCGUGGGGAGCAAACAGG